rnacentral:rRNA from 1 species
UACGAAGGAUGCAAGCGUUAUCCGGAUUUAUUGGGUUUAAAGGGUGCGUAGGCGGACUUAUAAGUCAGUGGUGAAAUCUCGUUGCUUAACAACGAACGUGCCAUUGAUACUGUAGGUCUUGAGUACAGAUGCCGUUGGCGGAAUGUGUCAUGUAGCGGUGAAAUGCAUAGAUAUGACACAGAACACCGAUUGCGAAGGCAGCUGACGAAACUGUAACUGACGCUGAGGCACAAAAGCGUGGGGAUCAAACAGG